rnacentral:rRNA from 2 species
AGUGGGGAAUUUUGGACAAUGGGCGAAAGCCUGAUCCAGCAAUGCCGCGUGUGUGAAGAAGGCCUUCGGGUUGUAAAGCACUUUUGUCCGGAAAGAAAUGGCUCUGGUUAAUACCUGGGGUCGAUGACGGUACCGGAAGAAUAAGGACCGGCUAACUACGUGCCAGCAGCCGCGGUAAUACGUAGGGUCCAAGCGUUAAUCGGAAUUACUGGGCGUAAAGCGUGCGCAGGCGGUUGUGCAAGACCGAUGUGAAAUCCCCGAGCUUAACUUGGGAAUUGCAUUGGUGACUGCACGGCUAGAGUGUGUCAGAGGGGGGUAGAAUUCCACGUGUAGCAGUGAAAUGCGUAGAGAUGUGGAGGAAUACCGAUGGCCGAAGGCAGCCCCCUGGGAUAACACUGACGCUCAUGCACGAAAGCGUGGGGAGCAAACAGGAUUAGAUACCCUGGUAGUCCACGCCCUAAACGAUGUCAACUAGUUGUUGGGGAUUCAUUUCCUUAGUAACGUAGCUAACGCGUGAAGUUGACCGCCUGGGGAGUACGGUCGCAAGAUUAAAACUCAAAG